CUUAUAAAAUGUAGUUGUUUUGAAAAUUCUGCCUCUUCUGUGCAAUUCUUUUUUACCCUACACAUUUGGCCAAAUGAGAUGUUUCUUAUCCAUUAUUAUGUGGGUAGUGGUUACUCAUUGGAAUUAUAUAAUUGUUUGAGUUUACUUUCUUAAAGGAGAACGAAAGCCAAAACGUACUUAGGGUUCCAUUGUGUAGCCCUUAUAUAUGCCUUCUGAAUCGCUACCUUUUUAUUUUAAAAUCAUGCAUAGUUUAGGAGAAAAUCCAAUCGUUAAGACGCAGCACUAUAAACAGAUUGCGGCCGCCAUCUUGGUUAGUGUGCACUUCCGUCAUUUACAGACUUCAUUAGUGCGCAUGUGCUAAUACCAUAACAGUAACACAUUACUUACACAGAUCUGCAGCACUUCUCAUCGCUCCUGCUCCCUCCCCUCCCCUCUCUGCUAGCCCGCAGCCUUAAGCUUCGUCAUGGAAAAGAGACACAUAGAAUCCGAUUGGCUGGUGGGCGGGUCAAGCAGGAGAGAAUGCAAAUAGCCCUGAGGGGCGUGAGGGACACGAGGGAAGGGCUAUAAUAUUUAGAAUGCGCAGAAGCUUCAGAUAAUGUGUAAUGCGAUCCUUCUGUGCCAGAGGCAGCAGGGAGGAAACAGCAGAGGAUCUUAGUGACGUCACCCGACCUAGAGACUCGGCUUCUGCAGGCAGUACAUUUGCAAGUGAAAGAGAAGAGACAGCCUCGAUUUUCUUGGUGCAGCACAAGCACAGGCAGGCCCAGAGCAAAGAUUAUAUGGCAGGGUGCAGACCUCCCUUACAACAUGUGCCAGGCCAUGUGUGCCGAGAAGGAGUAAACCAAGGAAUCCUAGAUCAAUCAGGACUACAUACCUCCUUAAAAAGUGCAGUGCUGGAACAUCAACAUUUUAAAUAACAUUUUUUGAAGUAGCAAAAAUAUAUUUAAAAAAGUACAGGUGUGGAAUUUUAUCUGAAAUAUAAUUAACUGGCUGAAAAUUUUUUUACCUGGGUCACCCGUCCAGACCCAAUCAACCCCUCCCCCCAGCUAAGCCCCACACUUUUAGCACAACUAGCAGGCUCAGCCUCUCUCUACCAUCCAGGAGGAGAAGGGUUACAUCUUCAUACCCACAUCCUUUCAGGACAGAGGCCAGCAGAGGUCAAGAGCAAGCAGCAAGUAAGAGCCACAUAAGCCACAGUGAAUGUAUAAGAGCCAGGUGUAAGCCAGUCAGCCAGCAAAGAAAGGUAUUGCUGGAGGGAUCAAGAAUGCUGCCCAGGAGGCAGCUGGGGCACCAGGCCAGGGUCAGGGGCUCCUCCAACACGGGGGCCAUAAACAUGGUCUUCCAGAAGCAAUCAUACAGUGCAACAUGUAUGGGCCCCAGGAGUGCAGGUGAAGGUGGCACAUGCAGUUCCAGGCAGAAACACAGUGGGUGAGGCGGUCACAGCUGUAAUUUCCCCUCCUUCCACCUUUUUCUCAAUAGGACCUAAAAACCAGCCAGAAGACAAAGGAGAACAAAGAAGUUCAUCAGCUACAUAGGACCAACCAGGAGGGUAAUUGCAUAUCAGGUACCAACGAUACUGGCAACAGGGUACUGGGUACACAGCCAGGGCAGGGUUCUGCUAGCAGUCCCCAGCAUGAGCCAUGCAAGUUCAUGGCUAAAUUGUGCCAGCUGCUGAGGCAAACAGAGGUGUGGUGGCCACAGAUAGUGCUACCAUUGGGGGAAGCCACCAGGUAAUUUUUUUAUGACUCCCAUAGACGCCCAUUUAAAAAAAAAAAAAAGACGCGUUUUUCAAACGCACGUCAAAAUGUUUUUGAUGCCCAUAUGAUAAUGGGCGUCAGUGACAUUUCGCCGGCGGCAAAUUUUUGACGAAACGAAAAGGGUCAAAUUCACCCAUCCCUACAGGGGAUCUAAAAACACAGCUAUGCUCACAUUAGGUACUUAGUCAGCGGCUAAGGGUAUGGGGGUUCAGAUGAUGUCAAGUGGAAAAGGAGGUAGUGUCAGCAAAGGGCCAUGCUUAUAUAUGUUUUGAGUGCCAUUAGGUACUCACCUAAGACCGGAAGUGAGGGAGAAGGUUUAGAAAUGGGAGUACAUUAACAGUUUCAAGCUACUACCAUUGGAAAAAUUUAACAUCAAUAAAAUGGGUAAGGAGCACAGGAAAGAGGAAGACAAGAAUAGCACCAGUUUAGGCUGAUCCCUAGGACAUUCGGGAACUGACUGCAGGCCUUUUCCACUUUGGCCAGUGCAGUAGGGUAGAAGCAUCCAGAACACUUCUCAGCAGUGUUUUCUUAUCUGGAUGCCAUUUGGGAGGCACACUGGGUUUUAUUUAUCAACACUGGGCAAAUUUUCCCUUGGGCAGUAACCUAUAGCAACCAGUCAGUGACUGGCUUUCUUCAGCCAUCUGCAGGUAAAACAAUGAAUGCAACAUUUGAUUUGGUUAUCAUGGGUUACUGCCCAUGUGCAAAGUUGCCCAGUGUUGAUAAAUUACACUAUGGGUCUAUCAUGGCUAUAGUAUGAAAAACAAUUGCAUCAGAGGAUUGCAGUGGAACUGGAAUUUCACAGGAGCUACAGCAGGAAGGCUACAAGCCAUCUGGAGCACACAAAAAAGACUGUUUAACAAUAGCCAGUGCAAACGGGGGGCCAUCCUGUUGAUUUUGCCAUGAAUGCUCCCAGAAAUCAUCCUUUCAGCAGAUGUUUCAAAAGGUGCAAGAGUGCAGGCAAAUAUAGCUAUGGGCCUGGAAAAGGGAGUAACACAGAUUAAACUAGAAUUUAUGUUUUUUGCAGGCUGAAAGAAGCAAGAAUCUGCUCCCUUCUUCGGCACCGUUUGUCUGCACUUAAAAGUACAGCUUUCACUGCAGAGGAAUGCAGAUUACCCAUGAACAAGGUAACAUUGCUUGAAGAAAAGAGUACACAGGCAGGGCCAAAAAGUUGGUACUGUAGAUCUAGUCCCUUUGGAGUAAACUCAACUUGAGAAUUAUCUGUAUAGGGAGCCUGGUGGCUCUCUGACUGCAGGAGUGGGUGGCACUGUUUUGUUCCAAAAUAAUGGCUGUGUCAGUGGUUAAUAAUUUGACCUCUUCAUAUUGCCCAGUGCUUGCCCUCUUUUGGUACUGCUUUGCCUACAACUUAGUGUCAAUUUGAGAAACAGACACCCCCUGGGUGGUGUUAACGAGAUUGAUGAUGCACUGUUUUCAGUGGGACAGAUUUCGGACACUGGCACCAAUAGCACCAGUAAAUGUAAUUUUGGAAUUAUAGGAUCCCCUGUUGAAUUUAAACUAUUCAAGCUGACUUUUUUAUGUGGGCAGUAGAGGGUCCAGAUUGGUGGUCAUGUAUUUGGAAUAUUUCUUGAUAAUGAGUUUAUGGAUAAUAUAUCCUGUAUUUUUAUACUAUAUGUUAUAGAGUUCUUAUAAAUGAUUACAUGGAAUACUUCAUGCAAAAAUGAUUGCAAACGAAUGCACUGGUAGUGCCCUCCCCCUGUACUAGUGGACUUUUGACUAAUGCCCAUUUAUUAAUUGUGCCUUAUACCAGGACAUGCUAACAAUGUAGACAUUCAUCAUGUACCACAAAAAUAUUUGGCCAAAUUCAAUCUGGUAGCAAUAAAAUCUGCAGAUGCAGUUGCCAUAGUUUUUAUAUGUGUAUGUUGCAAAUUAUAGUCAUACUCUGUAUAACAAUUAAGGCAUAUACUGACAUGAAAGCUAUUGAUCUAAAACCAAAACUGCAUGCAUUAAGGAUUUCUAUUGAAACCGUUAGCUCUAAAAUGAAAAUGUAAAACUAUUAUUACAAUAGUGGUAUUUGCAACAAUCAGCAGUCUCAUAGUACUGCUCCCAUAAAGAAUUACAAAUACAUAGUUUCAUAUGCUCAUAAGCGAUGUAGUACUAUCUCAAAAACAGCAGCAUUCCCUCCUGAAUACCAGUGUCAUUGCAGAGAAUAUAAAGCCAAGAAACAGACAUCCAGUUGUCUUUUGAUAGCUUGCCCAGUGAGUUAAAUAAAGACCAUUUUCUCGUAGUUCUUGUUUUGCAACCUUCAGGAGAACAAAUAUACAAGGCAGACAUUAGAGACACAAUCUUUUAUGCACAGGCAAAUGGAUUUUGUGCACUGCCAUAGACAUUGACGAGACAGAUAGCAUACACGAAAAACACUAGUUUCUAUGUCUAAUUGAGAGGAAAAGCUCAGGGAAAAGUUGUUCUGGUUCCAAAUAAACCUCAUAAUUGCACAGAACUGUUGACUGCACUGACAAACUCAUAUCAAUGCCUUGAUUCUUUGCUGGCCUACUUGAGGCAAUUGCUGUAUUGUACUGCCAUCCACUGACAUGUGCGUGCAAAUGCACACAGUAAUUAAUUUAGUUGCUUCUGUAGUAUAUCGACUUGACUUAAUUUCCACUGAAGCACCAGCCAUCCCCUAGAUAGAUAUACUCCCAAUUCAUUUCCUUCUGCAAUGAUAACUGUGAAAUUUACCCAAGCUCUAAAGGAAAAGAAAUAAUUUCUCUAAUAGCCUUAAUGGGUUUUUAGAGUCUUUUGGACAGCAGCCAAGAAAGUCUUAGACAUGGAUGUGCAGGCAGAGUGAAUGCAGAGCUUAGUUUGCGAGUGGAUGUCUCUGUGUGUGGUUUUACUGUCAGAUAAGUUUCAGUAAAGACAUUUUAAUUGAACCCCCCCCCCAAUAAUACUUUCAGUGAUAGCUUUCCCUCACUGCAUUAAGCGUAAAUGAAUAGAAGCUAAUUGUAUUUCAAUAAAAAUGGGGAUCAGAAAGCUGUUGUUGGAUAAGGUAAUCUUUAAUUAAGAUUAUUUAAAUUACUAAAUGUCAGCCUCUAACAUUAGCUUCACAUUUUAUACUGAUGUGAGAAUGGUUUACUAGAAAAAUAAAUUAAAAUAAAAUACAUAAAUAAGCAGCACAAUUUCAUAAUGUGUGCUGAUAUUUAAUGGUUAAGCAGAGAAAUACAUAGUCCCUGAUGGUUUAAUGAACCUUAUGAUGAUUGAUGCCUGAGUAGGCAUUACGUUCAUUAUGUCAUCAGUAUAAAUUAAGGCAGAGCAGAAAUGCACAUUGAAGCAUGGUAACUUUUAUUUCAAUAGACAAAAUUGCUGUUUGAACUCAAAUAUAACUUGUUUGAGUGUAUUUACAUACUUAGGGACAUAUUUAUUAACAUGGGAGACAAAAAUCAUUGGUGAUGUUGCCCAUAGCAGCCAAUCAUAUCUUUGCUUUUAUUUUGUAACUUGUAG